ACCGCAAUAGUUCAGCUGAUAGAGCAUCUUCCCGGUAAGUGGAACGUCGCUGGUUCGUUUCCAGCUUGCGGCG
rnacentral:tRNA from 1 species